rnacentral:lncRNA from 1 species
CCGGCUAGUGUUUGGACAGGGAAUCAAAAUUCGAGACUUGGGCGCGCAGCCGCAGAUGCGCAACGUUUGCUGCUGUUGCUCUUUCUUUUUUUCUUUUUUUCUUUUUUUUCUUUUUGCCUCGUGUUCUAUUUUGAUCGAUGGGAUGGGAGGGAGUGCAUCAUUCCAAUUGGCUAUGUUUUGCAGGUACUUUGCUCCGAAGGCAAGCAGGCGAAAAAAAUAGCAGUAAAAAAGAA